AGUGAACGCUGGCGGUAGGCCUAACACAUGCAAGUCGAACGGCAGCACAGUAAGAGCUUGCUCUUACGGGUGGCGAGUGGCGGACGGGUGAGGAAUACAUCGGAAUCUACUUUUUCGUGGGGGAUAACGUAGGGAAACUUACGCUAAUACCGCAUACGACCUACGGGUGAAAGCAGGGGAUCUUCGGACCUUGCGCGAUUGAAUGGGCCGAUGUCGGAUUAGCUAGUUGGCGGGGUAAAGGCCCACCAAGGCGACGAUCCGUAGCUGGUCUGAGAGGAUGAUCAGCCACACUGGAACGGAGACACGGUCCAGACUCCUACGGGAGGCAGCAGUGGGGAAUAGUGGACAAUGGGCGCAAGCCUGAUCCAGCCAUACCGCGUGGGUGAAGAAGGCCUUCGGGUUUUAAAGCCCUUUUGUUGGGAAAGAAAAGCAGCAGGUUAAUACCCCGCUGUUCUGACGGUACCCUAAGAAUAAGCACCGGCUAACUUCGUG
rnacentral:rRNA from 1 species